UAGCAUCCCUCUUCCUCUAUCUAACAUGAGACAGUUGAACUUGCGUUAUUCCGACAGGUUUCGUAAGUUUUACGUUAACUCGGUGAACAGUUUUUUUUCUUUUGGUCUACCGGUUCGGAUCAAUUAAACAGUUGUUGUUGUAAUGAAUGGCUCUGUUUUGAGUUUGCUUGUGUCUUAGGUUUCUUCGUACAGUUUGAUGAUUUCCAGGAGACAGAUCAGCAGGAAAACACGAAAACCAAUUUGAAAUCCAGAAGACAUUUCGUAAGGGAAAGGGAAAACCAACAUUGAAGACUUUUUCUCUGCUUUUUACUCGAGAUCCAGGAGAAGACGGUUAUAGCUGCAAUGCCAAACCCACCAGAGGAGAGAAAGCCAGUGAUGAGAAGUGCUACGGUGAUGAGAGCCGGGACGAGGAUUGGGCUAAAGAUAACAAGCAGAGGAGUGGCAACAGUCAAAGCAAUGACUGUUCCGACAAGGGUGAGACUGGAGAGGACAAGAAGGGACCCUCCAGCGGUGACUGCGGUAGCAGCUUUAGCAAUCUGCC